UAAAAAAAGGUAAGCUACUAAGAGCGAAUGGUGGAUGCCUUGACUGGUAAAGGCGAUGAAGGACGUACUAGACUGCGAUAAGCUACGGGGAGCUGUCAAGAAGCUUUGAUCCGUAGAUUUCCGAAUGGGGCAACCCAAUGUAUAGAGAUAUACAUUACCUAUAUAGGAGCGAACGAGGGGAAUUGAAACAUCUUAGUACCCUCAGGAAAAGAAAUCAAUAGAGAUUGCGUCAGUAGCGGCGAGCGAAAGCGCAAGAGGGCAAACCCAGUGCUUGCACUGGGGGUUGUAGGACUGCAAUGUGCAAGAGGUAAGUUUAGCAGAACAUUCUGGAAAGUAUAACCAUAGAGGGUGAUAGUCCCGUAUGCGAAAAACAAACCUUAGCUAGCAGUAUCCUGAGUAGGGCGGGACACGAGGAAUCCUGUCUGAAUCCGGGUCGACCACGAUCCAACCCUAAAUACUAAUACCAGAUCGAUAGUGCACAAGUACCGUGAGGGAAAGGUGAAAAGAACUGAGGUGAUCAGAGUGAAAUAGAACCUGAAACCAUUUGCUUACAAUCAUUCAGAGCCCUAUGUAGCAAUACAGGGUGAUGGACUGCCUUUUGCAUAAUGAGCCUGCGAGUUGUGGUGUCUGGCAAGGUUAAGCAAACGCGAAGCCGUAGCGAAAGCGAGUCUGAAUAGGGCGCUUAGUCAGAUGCUGCAGACCCGAAACGAAGUGAUCUAUCCAUGAGCAAGUUGAAGCUAGUGUAAGAACUAGUGGAGGACUGAACCCAUAGGCGUUGAAAAGCCCCGGGAUGACUUGUGGAUAGGGGUGAAAGGCCAAUCAAACUUCGUGAUAGCUGGUUCUCUCCGAAAUAUAUUUAGGUAUAGCGUUGUGUCGUAAUAUAAGGGGGUAGAGCACUGAAUGGGCUAGGGCAUACACCAAUGUACCAAACCCUAUCAAACUCCGAAUACCUUAUAUGUAAUCACAGCAGUCAGGCGGCGAGUGAUAAAAUCCGUCGUCAAGAGGGAAACA
rnacentral:rRNA from 1 species